UAAUUUCAUGUACGUUCCUCAUUCCUUAAUCUGUGUAUUACAUUUCUCUACAAUUAUAACAUAUUUUAUAUACUUUGCAACAUAAAGCUCCUGGAUGCAGUUGUCUGUGAAGCCAGCAGGGGGAGCAGAAGGAAAUGGGUCACACUCCUGACACUCCCUGCACACCAGCAUGUUCCCAAAAGCAGAGUUCCCUGCUCUGCACCUUCUCUGGGGACAGCUUUAUUAUUGGUGAGUUUUGUGCUUAAUUAUUGAGAGUUUCUGUUUUAGGUGUGCUGGUCGAGGUGCAGCUAAUGAGUCCAGUGCAGG
rnacentral:lncRNA from 1 species